CCUACGGGUGGCUGCAGUGGGGAAUAUUGGACAAUGGGCGAAAGCCUGAUCCAGCCAUGCCGCGUGUGUGAAGAAGGCCUUCGGGUUGUAAAGCACUUUCAGUGGGGAAGGAAGCCUUGGGGCUAAUACCCUCGAGGAAGGACAUCACCCACAGAAGAAGCACCGGCUAACUCCGUGCCAGCAGCCGCGGUAAUACGGAGGGUGCGAGCGUUAAUCGGAAUUACUGGGCGUAAAGCGCGCGUAGGCGGUCUGAUAAGCCGGUUGUGAAAGCCCCGGGCUCAACCUGGGAACGGCAUCCGGAACUGUCAGGCUAGAGUGCAGGAGAGGAAGGUAGAAUUCCCGGUGUAGCGGUGAAAUGCGUAGAGAUCGGGAGGAAUACCAGUGGCGAAGGCGGCCUUCUGGACUGACACUGACGCUGAGGUGCGAAAGCGUGGGUAGCAAACAGGAUUAGAUACCCCAGUAGUC
rnacentral:rRNA from 1 species